CUCUAAAAGAGACAUAAACAUGACAAAUGAAACAUUCAAGUACUUGACAAUGAAGAGAUCUAGCUAGCUAUGUCAU
rnacentral:sRNA from 1 species